rnacentral:rRNA from 1 species
AUUGAACGCUGGCGGCAGGCCUAACACAUGCAAGUCGAACGGUAACAGGGAUCUUCUUGCUGAUUCGCUGACGAGUGGCGGACGGGUGAGUUAUGUCUCGGAAACUGCCUGAUGGAGGGGGAUAACUACUGGAAACGGUAGCUACUUCCGCAUAACGUCGCAAGACCAAAGAGCUUGACCUUCCGGCCUCUUGCCUUCGGCUGUGCCCAGAUGGUAUUAGCUAGUAGGUGGGGUAACGGCUCACCUAGGCGACGAUCCCUAGCUGGUCUGAGAGGAUGAACAGCCACACUGGAACUGAGACACGGUCCAGACUCCUACGGGAGGCAGCAGUGGGGAAUAUUGCACAAUGGGCGCAAGCCUGAUGCAGCCAUGCCGCGUGUAUGAAGAAGGCCUUCGGGUUGUAAAGUACUUUCAGCGGGGAGGAAGGGAAGAAAGUUAAUACCUUUGCUCAUUGACGUUACCAGCAGAAGAAGCACCGGCUAACUCCGUG